rnacentral:rRNA from 1 species
UGAAAAAUUAGCGGAUGACUUGUGGCUGGGGGUGAAAGGCCAAUCAAACCGGGAGAUAGCUGGUUCUCCCCGAAAGCUAUUUAGGUAGCGCCUCGUGAAUUCAUCUCCGGGGGUAGAGCACUGUUUCGGCAAGGGGGUCAUCCCGACUUACCAACCCGAUGCAAACUGCGAAUACCGGAGAAUGUUAUCACGGGAGACACACGGCGGGUGCUAACGUCCGUCGUGAAGAGGGAAACAACCCAGACCGCCAGCUAAGGUCCCAAAGUCAUGGUUAAGUGGGAAACGAUGUGGGAAGGCCCAGACAGCCAGGAUGUUGGCUUAGAAGCAGCCAUCAUUUAAAGAAAGCGUAAUAGCUCACUGGUCGAGUCGGCCUGCGCGGAAGAUGUAACGGGGCUAAACCAUGCACCGAAGCUGCGGCAGCGACGCUUAUGCGUUGUUGGGUAGGGGAGCGUUCUGUAAGCCUGCGAAGGUGUGCUGUGAGGCAUGCUGGAGGUAUCAGAAGUGCGAAUGCUGACAUAAGUAACGAUAAAGCGGGUGAAAAGCCCGCUCGCCGGAAGACCAAGGGUUCCUGUCCAACGUUAAUCGGGGCAGGGUGAGUCGACCCCUAAGGCGAGGCCGAAAGGCGUAGUCGAUGGGAAACAGGUUAAUAUUCCUGUACUUGGUGUUACUGCGAAGGGGGGACGGAGAAGGCUAUGUUGGCCGGGCGACGGUUGUCCCGGUUUAAGCGUGUAGGCUGGUUUUCCAGGCAAAUCCGGAAAACUAAGGCUGAGGCGUGAUGACGAGGCACUACGGUGCUGAAGCAACAAAUGCCCUGCUUCCAGGAAAAGCCUCUAAGCAUCAGGUAACAUCAAAUCGUACCCCAAACCGACACAGGUGGUCAGGUAGAGAAUACCAAGGCGCUUGAGAGAACUCGGGUGAAGGAACUAGGCAAAAUGGUGCCGUAACUUCGGGAGAAGGCACGCUGAUAUGUAGGUGAAGUCCCUCGCGGAUGGAGCUGAAAUCAGUCGAAGAUACCAGCUGGCUGCAACUGUUUAUUAAAAACACAGCACUGUGCAAACACGAAAGUGGACGUAUACGGUGUGACGCCUGCCCGGUGCCGGAAGGUUAAUUGAUGGGGUUAGCGCAAGCGAAGCUCUUGAUCGAAGCCCCGGUAAACGGCGGCCGUAACUAUAACGGUCCUAAGGUAGCGAAAUUCCUUGUCGGGUAAGUUCCGACCUGCACGAAUGGCGUAAUGAUGGCCAGGCUGUCUCCACCCGAGACUCAGUGAAAUUGAACUCGCUGUGAAGAUG